UCCCUCCGUCCUCCUGAGUUUUCAUGUCCAACUUUAACUGUCCGUCUUAUAUAAAAUUUUUUUAUGAUUCAUAUUUUUAUUAUUGUUAGAUGAUAAAACAUGAUUAAUAUUUUAUGCGUAACUUGUCUUUUUAUUUUUUUUCAUAAUUUUUUUAAAUAAAACGGACGGUCAAACAUUGGGUACGAAAACCAAGGUUUGUCUUGUU
rfam:Oryza nivara chromosome 9, whole genome shotgun sequence.